AAAUUUAAAGGUAUAACUAUAUCAUUUUCUAU
rnacentral:tRNA from 1 species